GGAGUCGGCCGGAUGACCGCCGGCGCUCGUCGCGGGUGCGGGAGGAAAGUCCGAACACCAUAGAGCGGGAUGCUUCGUAACGCGAAGUCCUGGCGACAGGCAGGCUAGUGCCACAGAAAAUAAACCGCCCUGGCUAGUUAGGGGUAAGGGUGAAACGGUGAGGUAAGAGCUCACCAGUGCCGGUGGUGACAUCGGUAGCUAGGUAAACCCCAUCCGGUGCAAGGCCAAAUAGGUUUCGUUUUUCCCUGCGGGGAAUGGAGGCGGCUCGUCUCCGGAAAAAGGCUGGCGACAGUUUUUUUCGGCGAAACGGGUAGGCUGCUGGAGGCUGCGGGCGAUCGCAGUCCUAGAUGAAUGGUCAUCACUUCCGUUUUACGGAGGGACAGAAUUCGGCUUACAGGCCGGCUCCGGUC
rnacentral:RNase_P_RNA from 1 species